rnacentral:rRNA from 1 species
GUGGGGAAUAUUGGACAAUGGGCGAAAGCCUGAUCCAGCCAUGCCGCGUGAGUGAUGAAGGCCUUCGGGUUGUAAAGCUCUUUCACCCACGACGAUGAUGACGGUAGUGGGAGAAGAAGCCCCGGCUAACUUCGUGCCAGCAGCCGCGGUAAUACGAAGGGGGCAAGCGUUGUUCGGAAUGACUGGGCGUAAAGGGCGCGUAGGCGGUGCGUUGCGUCAGAUGUGAAAUCCCCGGGCUCAACCUGGGAAUGGCAUUUGAUACGGGCGUACUGGAAUCCGUGAGAGGUUGGUGGAAUUCCCAGUGUAGAGGUGAAAUUCGUAGAUAUUGGGAAGAACACCAGUGGCGAAGGCGGCCAACUGGCACGGUAUUGACGCUGAGGCGCGAAAGCGUGGGGAGCAAACAGGAUUAGAAACCCCAGUAGUCC